AGACAAUAGAUACCCCGGUAGUCCACGCCCUAAACGAUGGAUACUAAGUAGGGGACCCCUGCAAGGGGGUUCCUUGCCGGAGCAAAAAAAAGCGUUAAAGUAUCCCGCCUGGGGAGUAUGGUCGCAAGGCUGAAACUCAAAAGAAUUGACGGGGGCUCACACAAGCGGUGGAGCAUGUUGCUUAAAUUCGAUGCAACGCGAAGAACCUUACCCGGGCUCGAAGUGUACGGAUUAGCUCUAUGAAAGUAGAGUGACACCUUAACCGGUGGAACGUAUAAAGGUGUUGCAUGGCUGUCGUCAGCUCGUGUCGUGAGAUGUCGGGUUAAGUCCCUUAACGAGCGAAACCCCUGUCCUUAGUUGCCAUCGGGUCAUGCCGGGAACGUCUAGGGAGGACUGCCGGUGUUAAACCGGUAAGGAAGGUGGGGAGUGACGUCAAGUCAUCAUGG
rnacentral:rRNA from 1 species